GACGAACGCUGGCGGCGCGCCUAACACAUGCAAGUCGAACGAGAGAUGAGGAGCUUGCUCUUCAAAUCGAGUGGCGAACGGGUGAGUAACGCGUGAGGAACCUGCCUCAAAGAGGGGGACAACAGUUGGAAACGACUGCUAAUACCGCAUAAGCCCACGGGUCGGCAUCGACCAGAGGGAAAAGGAGCAAUCCGCUUUGAGAUGGCCUCGCGUCCGAUUAGCUAGUUGGUGAGGUAAUGGCCCACCAAGGCGACGAUCGGUAGCCGGACUGAGAGGUUGAACGGCCACAUUGGGACUGAGACACGGCCCAGACUCCUACGGGAGGCAGCAGUGGGGAAUAUUGCACAAUGGGGGAAACCCUGAUGCAGCGACGCCGCGUGGAGGAAGAAGGUCUUCGGAUUGGUAAACUCCUGUUGUUGAGGAAGAUAAUGACGGUACUCAACAAGGAAGUGACGGCUAACUACGUG
rnacentral:rRNA from 1 species